rnacentral:rRNA from 1 species
AGGGUUUGAUCAUGGCUCAGGACGAACGCUGGCGGCGUGCCUAAUACAUGCAAGUAGAACGCUGAAGAGAGGAGCUUGCUCUUCUUGGAUGAGUUGCGAACGGGUGAGUAACGCGUAGGUAACCUGCCUUGUAGCGGGGGAUAACUAUUGGAAACGAUAGCUAAUACCGCAUAACAAUGGAUGACACAUGUCAUUUAUUUGAAAGGGGCAAUUGCUCCACUACAAGAUGGACCUGCGUUGUAUUAGCUAGUAGGUGAGGUAAUGGCUCACCUAGGCGACGAUACAUAGCCGACCUGAGAGGGUGAUCGGCCACACUGGGACUGAGACACGGCCCAGACUCCUACGGGAGGCAGCAGUAGGGAAUCUUCGGCAAUGGGGGCAACCCUGACCGAGCAACGCCGCGUGAGUGAAGAAGGUUUUCGGAUCGUAAAGCUCUGUUGUAAGUCAAGAACGGGUGUGAGAGUGGAAAGUUCACACUGUGACGGUAGCUUACCAGAAAGGGACGGCUAACUACGUGCCAGCAGCCGCGGUAAUACGUAGGUCCCGAGCGUUGUCCGGAUUUAUUGGGCGUAAAGCGAGCGCAGGCGGUUUGAUAAGUCUGAAGUUAAAGGCUGUGGCUCAACCAUAGUUCGCUUUGGAAACUGUCAAACUUGAGUGCAGAAGGGGAGAGUGGAAUUCCAUGUGUAGCGGUGAAAUGCGUAGAUAUAUGGAGGAACACCGGUGGCGAAAGCGGCUCUCUGGUCUGUAACUGACGCUGAGGCUCGAAAGCGUGGGGAGCGAACAGGAUUAGAUACCCUGGUAGUCCACGCCGUAAACGAUGAGUGCUAGGUGUUGGAUCCUUUCCGGGAUUCAGUGCCGCAGCUAACGCAUUAAGCACUCCGCCUGGGGAGUACGACCGCAAGGUUGAAACUCAAAGGAAUUGACGGGGGCCCGCACAAGCGGUGGAGCAUGUGGUUUAAUUCGAAGCAACGCGAAGAACCUUACCAGGUCUUGACAUCCCGAUGCUAUUUCUAGAGAUAGAAAGUUACUUCGGUACAUCGGUGACAGGUGGUGCAUGGUUGUCGUCAGCUCGUGUCGUGAGAUGUUGGGUUAAGUCCCGCAACGAGCGCAACCCUUAUUGUUAGUUGCCAUCAUUCAGUUGGGCACUCUAGCGAGACUGCCGGUAAUAAACCGGAGGAAGGUGGGGAUGACGUCAAAUCAUCAUGCCCCUUAUGACCUGGGCUACACACGUGCUACAAUGGUUGGUACAACGAGUUGCGAGUCGGUGACGGCGAGCUAAUCCCUUAAAGCCAAUCUCAGUUCGGAUUGUAGGCUGCAACUCGCCUACAUGAAGUCGGAAUCGCUAGUAAUCGCGGAUCAGCACGCCGCGGUGAAUACGUUCCCGGGCCUUGUACACACCGCCCGUCACACCACGAGAGUUUGUAACACCCGAAGUCGGUGAGGUAACCUUUUGGAGCCAGCCGCCUAAGGUGGGACAGAUGAUUGGGGUGAAGUCGUAACAAGGUA